GGUUAAGUUAGAAAGGGCGCACGGUGGAUGCCUUGACACUAGGAGUCGAUGAAGGACGGGACUAACGCCGAUAUGCUUCGGGGAGCUGUAAGUAAGCUUUGAUCCGAAGAUUUCCGAAUGGGGAAACCCACCAUACGUAAUGGUAUGGUAUCCUUAUCUGAAUACAUAGGGUAAGGAAGACAGACCCAGGGAACUGAAACAUCUAAGUACCUGGAGGAAGAGAAAGCAAAUGCGAUUUCCUGAGUAGCGGCGAGCGAAACGGAACAUAGCCCAAACCAAGAGGCUUGCCUCUUGGGGUUGUAGGACAUUCUAUACGGAGUUACAAAGGAACGAGGUAGACGAAGCGACCUGGAAAGGUCCGUCGUAGAGGGUAACAACCCCGUAGUCGAAACUUCGUUCUCUCUUGAAUGUAUCCUGAGUACGGCGGAACACGUGAAAUUCCGUCGGAAUCUGGGAGGACCAUCUCCCAAGGCUAAAUACUCCCUAGUGAUCGAUAGUGAACCAGUACCGUGAGGGAAAGGUGAAAAGCACCCCGGAAGGGGAGUGAAAGAGAUCCUGAAACCGUGUGCCUACAAAUAGUCAGAGCCCGUUAACGGGUGAUGGCGUGCCUUUUGUAGAAUGAACCGGCGAGUUACGAUCCCGUGCGAGGUUAAGCUGAAGAGGCGGAGCCGCAGCGAAAGCGAGUCUGAAUAGGGCGUUUAGUACGUGGUCGUAGACCCGAAACCAGGUGAUCUACCCAUGUCCAGGGUGAAGUUCAGGUAACACUGAAUGGAGGCCCGAACCCACGCACGUUGAAAAGUGCGGGGAUGAGGUGUGGGUAGCGGAGAAAUUCCAAUCGAACCUGGAGAUAGCUGGUUCUCCCCGAAAUAGCUUUAGGGCUAGCCUUAAGUGUAAGAGUCUUGGAGGUAGAGCACUGAUUGGACUAGGGGUCCUCAUCGGAUUACCGAAUUCAGUCAAACUCCGAAUGCCAAUGACUUAUCCUUAGGAGUCAGACUGCGAGUGAUAAGAUCCGUAGUCAAAAGGGAAACAGCCCAGACCGCCAGCUAAGGUCCCAAAGUGUGUAUUAAGUGGAAAAGGAUGUGGAGUUGCUUAGACAACUAGGAUGUUGGCUUAGAAGCAGCCACCAUUUAAAGAGUGCGUAAUAGCUCACUAGUCGAGUGACUCUGCGCCGAAAAUGUACCGGGGCUAAAUACACCACCGAAGCUGCGGAUUGAUACCGAAUGGUAUCAGUGGUAGGGGAGCGUUCUAAGGACAGUGAAGUCAGACCGUAAGGACUGGUGGAGUGCUUAGAAGUGAGAAUGCCGGUAUGAGUAGCGAAAGACGGGUGAGAAUCCCGUCCACCGAAUGCCUAAGGUUUCCUGAGGAAGGCUCGUCCGCUCAGGGUUAGUCAGGACCUAAGCCGAGGCCGACAGGCGUAGGCGAUGGACAACAGGUUGAUAUUCCUGUACCACCUCUUUAUCGUUUGAGCAAUGGAGGGACGCAGAAGGAUAGAAGAAGCGUGCGAUUGGUUGUGCACGUCCAAGCAGUUAGGCUGAUAAGUAGGCAAAUCCGCUUAUCGUGAAGGCUGAGCUGUGAUGGGGAAGCUCCUUAUGGAGCGAAGUCUUUGAUUCCCCGCUGCCAAGAAAAGCUUCUAGCGAGAUAAAAGGUGCCUGUACCGCAAACCGACACAGGUAGGCGAGGAGAGAAUCCUAAGGUGUGCGAGAGAACUCUGGUUAAGGAACUCGGCAAAAUGACCCCGUAACUUCGGGAGAAGGGGUGCUUUCUUAACGGAAAGCCGCAGUGAAUAGGCCCAAGCGACUGUUUAGCAAAAACACAGCUCUCUGCGAAGCCGUAAGGCGAAGUAUAGGGGUGACACCUGCCCGGUGCUGGAAGGUUAAGGAGAGGGGUUAGCGUAAGCGAAGCUCUGAACUGAAGCCCCAGUAAACGGCGGCCGUAACUAUAACGGUCCUAAGGUAGCGAAAUUCCUUGUCGGGUAAGUUCCGACCCGCACGAAAGGUGUAACGAUUUGGGCACUGUCUCAACCAGAGACUCGGUGAAAUUAUAGUACCUGUGAAGAUGCAGGUUACCCGCGACAGGACGGAAAGACCCCGUGGAGCUUUACUGUAGCCUGAUAUUGAAUUUUGGUACAGUUUGUACAGGAUAGGCGGGAGCCAUUGAAACCGGAGCGCUAGCUUCGGUGGAGGCGCUGGUGGGAUACCGCCCUGACUGUAUUGAAAUUCUAACCUACGGGUCUUAUCGACCCGGGAGACAGUGUCAGGUGGGCAGUUUGACUGGGGCGGUCGCCUCCUAAAGUGUAACGGAGGCGCCCAAAGGUUCCCUCAGAAUGGUUGGAAAUCAUUCGUAGAGUGCAAAGGCAUAAGGGAGCUUGACUGCGAGACCUACAAGUCGAGCAGGGACGAAAGUCGGGCUUAGUGAUCCGGUGGUUCCGCAUGGAAGGGCCAUCGCUCAACGGAUAAAAGCUACCCCGGGGAUAACAGGCUUAUCUCCCCAAGAGUCCACAUCGACGGGGAGGUUUGGCACCUCGAUGUCGGCUCAUCGCAUCCUGGGGCUGUAGUCGGUCCCAAGGGUUGGGCUGUUCGCCCAUUAAAGCGGUACGCGAGCUGGGUUCAGAACGUCGUGAGACAGUUCGGUCCCUAUCCGUCGUGGGCGUAGGAAAUUUGAGAGGAGCUGUCCUUAGUACGAGAGGACCGGGAUGGACGCACCGCUGGUGUACCAGUUGUUCUGCCAAGGGCAUAGCUGGGUAGCUAUGUGCGGAAGGGAUAAGUGCUGAAAGCAUCUAAGCAUGAAGCCCCCCUCAAGAUGAGAUUUCCCAUAGCGUAAGCUAGUAAGAUCCCUGAAAGAUGAUCAGGUUGAUAGGUUCGAGGUGGAAGCAUGGUGACAUGUGGAGCUGACGAAUACUAAUAGAUCGAGGACUUAACCAU
rnacentral:rRNA from 1 species